UACGUAGGGUGCGAGCGUUAAUCGGAAUUACUGGGCGUAAAGCGUGCGCAGGCGGUUGUGCAAGACCGAUGUGAAAUCCCCGGGCUUAACCUGGGAAUGGCAUUGGUGACUGCACGGCUAGAGCGUGUCAGAGGGGGGUAGAAUUCCACGUGUAGCAGUGAAAUGCGUAGAGAUGUGGAGGAAUACCGAUGGCGAAGGCAGCCCCCUGGGAUAACACUGACGCUCAUGCACGAAAGCGUGGGGAGCAAACAGG
rnacentral:rRNA from 1 species